rnacentral:rRNA from 1 species
GAAGGGUGCAAGCGUUACUCGGAAUUACUGGGCGUAAAGCGUGCGUAGGCGGUUUGUUAAGUCUGUCGUGAAAGCCCCGGGCUCAACCUGGGAAUGGCGAUGGAAACUGGCGAGCUAGAGUACGGUAGAGGAGAGUGGAAUUCCCGGUGUAGCAGUGAAACGCGUAGAGAUCGGGAGGAACAUCAGUUGCGAAGGCGGCUCUCUGGACCAGUACUGACGCUGAGGCACGAAAGCGUGGGGAGCAAACAGGAUUAGAUACCCUGGUAGUCCACGCCCUAAACGAUGCGAACUGGACGUUGGGAGCAAUUAGGCUCUCAGUGUCGAAGCUAACGCGUUAAGUUCGCCGCCUGGGGAGUACGGUCGCAAGACUG